UCUCCGUUGGAGAAGCCCACAGGGCCUUUCUCAAAGACCCGGAGUACAAUUUUUGGAGUGCCUUCGAAGGUUUCGCGCUUCGAGGCAU
rnacentral:snRNA from 1 species